GAUGAAGAACGUAGCAAAAUGCGAUAAGUAAUGUGAAUUGCAGAAUUCAGUGAAUCAUCGAAUCUUUGAACGCACAUUGCGCCCGCCAGUAUUCUGGCGGGCAUGCCUGUUCGAGCGUCAUUUCAACCCUCAAGCACAGCUUGGUGUUGGGACUCGCGUUAAUUCGCGUUCCUCAAAUUGAUUGGCGGUCACGUCGAGCUUCCAUAGCGUAGUAGUAAAACCCUCGUUACUGGUAAUCGUCGCGGCCACGCCGUUAAACCCCAACUUCUGAAUGUUGACCUCGGAUCAGGUAGGAAUACCCGCUGAACUUAAGCAUAUCAUAAGCGGAGGA
rnacentral:misc_RNA from 1 species